CUUUGCAACUUUCAGAAGAACUAUUGUGAACAGUAAACAGAGCCAGUGUAAAAUCUGCGAAAUAAGCCAAUGGUCACGCCGGCAAGAUGAUGUGGACAGUGGCACUGGAAGGGGGCCCACAGCGCGUUAACCAUGCAGCUGUUGCAGUGGGUGAUAAAAUUUAUUCCUUCGGUGGCUAUUGCACUGGAGAAAACUACAAUACGCUAAGAAAUAUGGAUGUCCAUGUUUUAGAAACAGUUACAUAUAGAUGGAAACCUUUAAACAUCAUACAGAAAAGGAAAUAUGUACCCUUCCAAAGGUAUGGACACACAGCUGUGGCAUUUGACACCAAAGUCUAUAUUUGGGGUGGACGUAAUGAUAAUACAGCUUGUAACACACUUUACUGUUUUGACACA